rnacentral:tRNA from 1 species
CGCGGAGUAGAGCAGUUGGGAGCUCGCCUGGUUCAUGUCCAGGAGGUCGCAGGUUCGAGUCCUGCCUCCGCGA